GUAAAAAGAUUGCAUAAAAAAUUAGAGAAGAAUAAGCUAACUUGCUAAGGGCAUUUUCGUAAUUUAAGUGGAGUUGGAUAAGCUUGAGCUAUAAAUAUCAUCUUCCAGCAGCUUCUUCUCACGUUUCCAACAGCUUCUUCUUCUUCUUCCUUCUUCCCUCUCACGUUUCUUCAUCCUCCAUGGGAGUUCUUUUCAAGCUUCCAUAACUCUCUCAAGCUAGCUCCACUUUUCAUACUUUUGUGCACCCUUUCAUAGAACCUUUGUGCUCUUUCACUCUCUCACUUUAAAACCCUUGAAAAAUCUUACUU
rnacentral:lncRNA from 1 species